AUUGAACGCUGGCGGCAUGCCUUACACAUGCAAGUCGAACGGUAACAGGUUAAGCUGACGAGUGGUGAACGGGUGAGUAAUGUAUCGGAACGUGCCCAGUUGUGGGGGAUAACUGCUCGAAAGAGCAGCUAAUACCGCAUACGACCUGAGGGUGAAAGCGGGGGAUCGCAAGACCUCGCGCAAUUGGAGCGGCCGAUAUCAGAUUAGGUAGUUGGUGGGGUAAAGGCUCACCAAGCCGACGAUCUGUAGCUGGUCUGAGAGGACGACCAGCCACACUGGGACUGAGAAACGGCCCAGACUUCUAUGGGAGGCAGCAGUGGGGAAUUUUGGACAAUGGGCGCAAGCCUGAUCCAGCCAUGCCGCGUGCGGGAAGAAGGCCUUCGGGUUGUAAACCGCUUUUGUCAGGGAAGAAACGCUCUGGGUUAAUACCCUGGGGUAAUGACGGUACCUGAAGAAUAAGCACCGGCUAACUACGUGCCAGCCGCCGCAGUAA
rnacentral:rRNA from 1 species